rnacentral:rRNA from 1 species
GAUGAACGCUGGCGGCGUGCCUAAUACAUGCAAGUAGAACGCUGAGGGAGGAGCUUGCUCUUCUGGAUGAGUUGCGAACGGGUGAGUAACGCGUAGGUAACCUGCCUGGUAGCGGGGGAUAACUAUUGGAAACGAUAGCUAAUACCGCAUGACAACAGUUAUUGCAUGAUAACUGUUUAAAAGGGGCAACUGCUCCACUACCAGAUGGACCUGCGUUGUAUUAGCUAGUUGGUGAGGUAACGGCUCACCAAGGCGACGAUACAUAGCCGACCUGAGAGGGUGAUCGGCCACACUGGGACUGAGACACGGCCCAGACUCCUACGGGAGGCAGCAGAAGGGAAUCUUCGGCAAUGGACGGAAGUCUGACCGAGCAACGCCGCGUGAGUGAAGAAGGUUUUCGGAUCGUAAAGCUCUGUUGUAAGAGAAGAACGAGUGUGAGAGUGGAAAGUUCACACUGUGACGGUAUCUUACCAGAAAGGGACGGCUAACUACGUG